rnacentral:lncRNA from 1 species
AAUCCGGAGCGCUGCUUUCCUGCCGGCUGUGGGAGCCUGCGCUGCAGAGAUGCUUAGAGAUGGUCACUUCUCCUCCGUCUGGCACCUGGGGAUGUGCAGAACAGCCACUGCCUUAGGAAUAUUUUGAAGCAACGAGAGGAGAAACUCCAGAGCGGCUCCAGGGAGAACGCUCCCACGUUCCUGAGAUUCCUCUUCCAACGCUCACAGACAGACUCACAGUUUUAUUUUCAAAAACUGGGAAUGCUUCCAAAUCCCAGCCUGUAAAGCCUUUCACCAAAAAAAAAUUUAAAUAAAUAACAAACCAACAGAGGAAAACCACUCUCUCCCCCACUGUGGAGCAGGAGACCCUUGCAAGCAGCAAAGCCUCUGCAGACGUGCCCCUGUGAAGGGCAGCAUGCUGUGAGUGUUCAGCAGCGAUCUGGUGCUUCCCAGGAAGCAUGCAGGGCCCAGGAUUUCAAUUUGCAAACACAGCUCUGGGUUGUGUCUCCAAGGAUAGCGUGCUCUUCAUCCGCAGGAAAAAUUCAAGACAUAAAGAAAAAGAAACUGCAGGGCUGGAGAAAAAAAAGAACAGUAUUGCUUAACCUGGA